AGCGAACGCUGGCGGCAGGCCUAACACAUGCAAGUCGAACGAACCUUUCGGGGUUAGUGGCGGACGGGUGAGUAACACGUGGGAACGUGCCUUUAGGUUCGGAAUAACUCAGGGAAACUUGUGCUAAUACCGAAUGUGCCCUUCGGGGGAAAGAUUUAUCGCCUUUAGAGCGGCCCGCGUCUGAUUAGCUAGUUGGGUGAGGUAAUGGCUCACCAAGGCGACGAUCAGUAGCUGGUCUGAGAGGAUGAUCAGCCACAUUAGGACUGAGACACGGCCCAAACUCCUACGGGAGGCAGCAGUGGGGAAUCUUGCGCAAUGGGCGAAAGCCUGACGCAGCCAUGCCGCGUGAAUGAUGAAGGUCUUAGGAUUGUAAAAUUCUUUCACCGGGGACGAUAAUGACGGUACCCGGAGAAGAAGCCCCGGCUAACUUCGUG
rnacentral:rRNA from 1 species